AUUGAACGCUGGUGGCAGGCCUAACACAUGCAAGUCGAGCGGAUGAAGAGAGCUUGCUCUCUGAUUUAGCGGCGGACGGGUGAGUAAUGCCUAGGAAUCUGCCUGGUAGUGGGGGAUAACGUCCGGAAACGGGCGCUAAUACCGCAUACGUCCUACGGGAGAAAGCAGGGGACCUUCGGGCCUUGCGCUAUCAGAUGAGCCUAGGUCGGAUUAGCUAGUUGGUGAGGUAAUGGCUCACCAAGGCUACGAUCCGUAACUGGUCUGAGAGGAUGAUCAGUCACACUGGAACUGAGACACGGUCCAGACUCCUACGGGAGGCAGCAGUGGGGAAUAUUGGACAAUGGGCGAAAGCCUGAUCCAGCCAUGCCGCGUGUGUGAAGAAGGUCUUCGGAUUGUAAAGCACUUUAAGUUGGGAGGAAGGGCAGUAAGUUAAUACCUUGCUGUUUUGACGUUACCGACAGAAUAAGCACCGGCUAACUUCGUGCCAGCAGCCGCCGUAAAAC
rnacentral:rRNA from 1 species